GAUGAACGCUGGCGGCGUGCUUAACACAUGCAAGUCGAACGGGGAACAUUUUAAAGAAGCUUCGGCAGAUUUAGUUUGUUCCUAGUGGCGGACGGGUGAGUAACGCGUGGGUAACCUGCCUCACACUGGGGGAUAACAGUCAGAAAUGACUGCUAAUACCGCAUAAGCGCACAGAGCCGCAUGGCUCAGUGUGAAAAACUCCGGUGGUGUGAGAUGGACCCGCGUUGGAUUAGCCAGUUGGCAGGGUAACGGCCUACCAAAGCAACGAUCCAUAGCCGGCCUGAGAGGGUGGACGGCCACAUUGGGACUGAGACACGGCCCAGACUCCUACGGGAGGCAGCAGUGGGGAAUAUUGCACAAUGGGGGAAACCCUGAUGCAGCGACGCCGCGUGAAGGAAGAAGUAUCUCGGUAUGUAAACUUCUAUCAGCAGGGAAGAAAA
rnacentral:rRNA from 1 species